UCUACGGGAGGCAGCAGUGGGGAAUAUUGCGCAAUGGGCGAAAGCCUGACGCAGCGACGCCGCGUGAGGGAUGAAGGUCUUCGGAUCGUAAACAUCUGUCAGCAGGGAAGAACGGUCACUGUGCUAAUCAGCAGUGAAUUGACGGUACCUGCAAAGGAAGCACCGGCUAACUCCGUGCCAGCAGCCGCGGUAAUACGGAGGGUGCGAGCGUUAAUCGGAAUUACUGGGCGUAAAGCGCUCGUAGGCGGUAUGUCAAGUCAAGGGUGAAAUCCCCGCGCUCAACGUGGGAACUGCCUUUGAAACUGGCAAACUGGAGUGUGUGAGAGGAUAGUGGAAUUCCAGGUGUAGGAGUGAAAUCCGUAGAUAUCUGGAGGAACAUCAGUGGCGAAGGCGACUAUCUGGCACAUAACUGACGCUGAGGAGCGAAAGCGUGGGUAGCAAACAGGAUUAGAUACCCGAGUAGUC
rnacentral:rRNA from 1 species